GGGGGUGACCGGUUUUGACAGCAGGCAGAGUUCGGUCGUAAGCACGUCGAGCAUUGUGUGGUGGCUCGUAAAUAUCAACACUCGAACUACAAAUGGCAAUAACAGCUAUGCACUCGCUGCCUAAUUUUCAAGGAAAAUGGGCUUAAUCGUUCGGCUCGAGGCAGUCGGAUGACGAGUAUCCCGAAAGGCCGUUCCGCUCUUUAACGGCUUUUCAUACGGGGUAUCAAACAUUUAGAGAUAGCGUUGCGGCAGUUCCGUCCGCAAUGCGAAAUUAAAGGAACUGGGACCCGUGUUAGGCUGUCGCCUGCCGGAUGCGGGUAGAAGGACCAAACGGCGACUAAACGUGUAGAAAGCUUUCGGGUUCCUUGUUUGGACGCGGGUUCGACUCCCGCCACCUCCACGG
rnacentral:tmRNA from 1 species